GGCAAUUCUGAAUUCCCCAAGCCCAUCCGCUGGUCUGUGUUGCUCAUCCAAAGCAGCCAUGCCCUGCUUCCUGCCACCCUGUCUGAUAACCAUGGUUAUAGAGAAAACCAGAAGACCAGAAUUCUGUAUUUCUCUGAUUUAAUACACAAUAUUGAAGAAGUAACUUCACCUUUAUGUGCUUCUAUUUCCCUCCUCAGCCUUUAUCUAAACUGCUUGAUUAUAUUACUAGCUCUUUAAAACUAUUCACGCACUGUCUUCACAAAACAACGUCUUAUUCUUUAUUACCUUCCACAAAAAGUCAAGAAUGUAAAAGAGGAGAGGAUUAGUAGAAGGCCUGCCGAGGUCAGAGAGAUAAAAAACCAACAACGACAAAAAAAACCAACAACGACAAAAAAAACCAACAACGACAAAAAAAACCAACAACGACAAAAAAAACCAACAACGACAAAAAAAACCAACAACGACAAAAAAAACCAACAACGACAAAAAAAACCAACAACGACAAAAAAAACCAACAACGACAAAAAAAACCAACGAAAAAACCCCCACAACUUUUAAUCUAAGUUUACCUCCUCCUCAUAACUGACAAUGGCUUCUGAAAUCUUGGAAAUACCUGAAAUAAUGCAAAAGUUAACUCUGACACUGGAGUUAUGAAAUAAAGUAAAAAUGAACCCAAAUUCAGAUGGGUUUUCAGAUCAAUUUUGACCUAUACCUUGAACAUAUCUGCCAUCCUGUAUCUUGAAACCCUGUUAUCCUCUAUACUUACUAUAACUUCAGAAAGACCAUAUUUCUAGAUGCCAACAUCAGCAAUUUAAGCCUUUGAAACUCUUUCAUUUUGGGGAAGAAUAAGGUACCUGCUUGAGGGCUGUUCCAAUACAAGCCUCGCAACCUUUUUAUGUAAAUCUGCAGACUUCCUAGAGUUAGUUCAUUGUUAAAUCCAAAGGUGGUGUUUAGAGCACUUGCUAGUUACGUGAUCUCUAUAUAACAUUGCCCGAUUUAUUUUUAUUUCACAAAACAUAAAUACUCUGCCUCUAGUGCAAGACCCUUAAUAUAACUAGCACUGUAGGAAUCUCGAUUAACCUAACGGAAGGAUACAUAUAAUAAAAACCUUAAUUUAA